rnacentral:rRNA from 1 species
AACUAAGCAUAUCAAUAAGCGGAGGAAAAGAAACCAACAGGGAUUGCCCUAGUAACGGCGAGUGAAGCGGCAACAGCUCAAAUUUGAAAUCUGGCUCUUUCAGAGUCCGAGUUGUAAUUUGCAGAGGGCGCUUUGGCUUUGGCAGCGGUCCAAGUUCCUUGGAACAGGACGUCACAGAGGGUGAGAAUCCCGUACGUGGUCGCUAGCUAUUGCCGUGUAAAGCCCCUUCGACGAGUCGAGUUGUUUGGGAAUGCAGCUCUAAAUGGGAGGUAAAUUUCUUCUAAAGCUAAAUAUUGGCCAGAGACCGAUAGCGCACAAGUAGAGUGAUCGAAAGAUGAAAAGCACUUUGGAAAGAGAGUCAAACAGCACGUGAAAUUGUUGAAAGGGAAGCGCUUGCAGCCAGACUUGCUUGCAGUUGCUCAUCCGGGCUUUUGCCCGGUGCACUCUUCUGCAGGCAGGCCAGCAUCAGUUUGGGCGGUGGGAUAAAGGUCUCUGACACGUUCCUUCCUUCGGGUUGGCCAUAUAGGGGAGACGUCAUACCACCAGCCUGGACUGAGGUCCGCGCAUCUGCUAGGAUGCUGGCGUAAUGGCUGUAAGCGGCCCGUCUUGAAACACGGACCAAGGAGUCUAACAUCUAUGCGAGUGUUUGGGUGUCAAGCCCGAGCGCGUAAUGAAAGUGAACGGAGGUGGGAACCCGCAAGGGUGCACCAUCGACCGAUCCUGAAGUUUACGGAAGGAUUUGAGUAAGAGCAUGGCUGUUGGGACCCGAA